ACUUCGGGAAACCGGAGCUAAUACCGGAUAAUAUAUUGAACCGCAUGGUUCAAUAGUGAAAGACGGUUUUGCUGUCACUUAUAGAUGGAUCCGCGCCGCAUUAGCUAGUUGGUAAGGUAACGGCUUACCAAGGCAACGAUGCGUAGCCGACCUGAGAGGGUGAUCGGCCACACUGGAACUGAGACACGGUCCAGACUCCUACGGGAGGCAGCAGUAGGGAAUCUUCCGCAAUGGGCGAAAGCCUGACGGAGCAACGCCGCGUGAGUGAUGAAGGUCUUCGGAUCGUAAAACUCUGUUAUUAGGGAAGAACAAAUGUGUAAGUAACUAUGCACGUCUUGACGGUACCUAAUCAGAAAGCCACGGCUAACUACGUGCCAGCAGCCGCGGUAAUACGUAGGUGGCAAGCGUUAUCCGGAAUUAUUGGGCGUAAAGCGCGCGUAGGCGGUUUUUUAAGUCUGAUGUGAAAGCCCACGGCUCAACCGUGGAGGGUCAUUGGAAACUGGAAAACUUGAGUGCAGAAGAGGAAAGUGGAAUUCCAUGUGUAGCGGUGAAAUGCGCAGAGAUAUGGAGGAACACCAGUGGCGAAGGCGACUUUCUGGUCUGUAACUGACGCUGAUGUGCGAAAGCGUGG
rnacentral:rRNA from 1 species